rnacentral:rRNA from 1 species
UACGGAGGGGGCUAGCGUUGUUCGGAAUUACUGGGCGUAAAGCGCACGUAGGCGGAUUGUUAAGUCAGAGGUGAAAUCCCGGAGCUCAACUUCGGAACUGCCUUUGAUACUGGCAAUCUAGAGUCCGGAAGAGGUUAGUGGAAUUCCCAGUGUAGAGGUGAAAUUCGUAGAUAUUGGGAAGAACACCAGUGGCGAAGGCGACUAACUGGACAUGUAUUGACGCUGAGGUGCGAAAGCGUGGGGAGCAAACAGG